rnacentral:rRNA from 1 species
AUUGAACGCUGGCGGCAUGCCUUACACAUGCAAGUCGAACGACAGCGCGGGAGCAAUCCUGGCGGCGAGUGGCGAACGGGUGAGUAAUACAUCGGAACGUGCCCAAUCGUGGGGGAUAACGCAGCGAAAGCUGUGCUAAUACCGCAUACGAUCUACGGAUGAAAGCAGGGGAUCGCAAGACCUUGCGCGAAUGGAGCGGCCGAUGGCAGAUUAGGUAGUUGGUGAGGUAAAGGCUCACCAAGCCUUCGAUCUGUAGCUGGUCUGAGAGGACGACCAGCCACACUGGGACUGAGACACGGCCCAGACUCCUACGGGAGGCAGCAGUGGGGAAUUUUGGACAAUGGGCGAAAGCCUGAUCCAGCCAUGCCGCGUGCAGGAUGAAGGCCUUCGGGUUGUAAACUGCUUUUGUACGGAACGAAACGGUCUUUUCUAAUAAAGAAGGCUAAUGACGGUACCGUAAGAAUAAGCACCGGCUAACUACGUG